rnacentral:rRNA from 1 species
UACGGGGGGGGCAAGCGUUGUUCGGAAUUACUGGGCGUAAAGGGCUCGUAGGCGGCCAACUAAGUCGGAUGUGAAAUCCCCAGGCUCAACCUGGGAAUUGCAUCCGAUACUGGAUGGCUUGAAUCCGGGAGAGGGAUGCAGAAUUCCAGGUGUAGCGGUGAAAUGCGUAGAUAUCUGGAGGAAUACCGGUGGCGAAGGCGGCAUCCUGGACCGGCAUUGACGCUGAUGAGCGAAAGCUAGGGGAGCAAACGGG